rnacentral:rRNA from 1 species
GAUGAACGCUGGCGGCGUGCUUAACACAUGCAAGUCGAACGGAAAGGCUCCUGCUUGCAGGGGUACUCGAGUGGCGAACGGGUGAGUAAAACGCGGGGGAUCUGCCCUGCACUUCGGGAUAAGCCUGGGAAACUGGGGCUAAAACCGGAUAGGACGUUGUUUUGGAUGCCAUUGUGGAAAGAUUGUCCGGUGUGGGGUGAGUUCGCGGCCUAUCAGCGUGUUGGUGGGGUAUUGGCCUACUAAGGGGUCGACGGGUAGCCGGCCUGAGAGGGUGUACGGCCACAUUGGGACUGAGAGACGGCCCAGACUCCUACGGGAGGCAGCGGUGGGAAGUAUUGCGCAAUGAGCGCAAGCCUGAUGCAGCGACGCCGCGUGGGGGAUGACGGCCUUCGGGGUGUGAACACCUUUCGCUAGGGACGAAGCGCAAGUGACGGUACCUGGAGAAGAAGCAACGGCUAACUACGUG